AAAAUGUUGGAUUUUAUAAUAACAUUUUUUGAAUUGUAUAGGAGGUAGCGCUCAGUUUGAAAUGUUGGAUAGUUCUACUUCUACUGAGAGCGCGCUAGAACUCGGUGAGGCAUAAUUGAAAAGAAGGAACAAAAAUGGUGUUUGGGCAAGUAGUAAUUGGUCCUCCUGGUUCUGGAAAAACUACUUACUGUAAUGGCAUCUCUCAUUUCCUCAAUCUUAUUGGAAGGAAGGUUGCUGUUAUCAAUUUGGAUCCAGCUAAUGAUUCAUUACCAUAUGAAUGUGCUGUCAACAUUGAGGAUCUUGUCAAACUUAGUGAUGUCAUGAUGCAACAUUCUCUUGGUCCUAAUGGGGGUCUUGUAUACUGUAUGGAUUAUCUAGAGAAAAAUAUUGACUGGUUGGAAGCAAAAUUGAAACCUCUUCUGAAAGAUCAUUAUUUACUCUUUGAUUUUCCUGGCCAAGUGGAACUAUUUUUUCUUCAUUCAAAUGCCAAGAAUGUCAUCAUGAAACUCAUAAAGAAAUUAAACUUGAGGUUAGCGGCAGUUCAUUUGGUAGAUGCUCAUCUUUGUAGUGACCCUGAGAAGUACAUCAGUGCAUUGCUUCUAACCUUAUCCACAAUGCUACAUAUGGAACUCCCCCACAUAAAUGUCUUGUCAAAAAUUGAUUUAAUUGAAAGCUACGGAAAGCUAGCCUUCAACCUUGAUUUUUAUACAGACGUGCAAGACUUGUCAUAUUUGCAAGACAAACUUGAUAGAGAUCCUCACUCUGCUAAGUUCAGGAAGCUCACAAAGGAAUUGUGUGAAGUCGUUGAACACUACGGUCUCGUGAAUUUUACAACCUUAGAUAUUCAGGACAAAGAGAGUGUAGGGAAUUUGGUGAAGCUGAUAGACAAAACCAAUGGGUACAUAUUUGCUAGCAUAGAUGCAAGUGCAGUUGAGUUUAGCAAGAUUGCUAUGGGAGCUCCUGAUUGGGAUUAUUAUAGAGUUGCAGCAGUGCAAGAGAAGUACAUGAAGGAUGAUGAAAAUAUUGAUGAUGAUUGAUGUGGAAACGCUUAUUAUUUUCUUGCAGCAGUGCAAGGUAAUGACCACCUGACAUCGACUAUUGUGACAGCAUCUGUAUUUUUCUCAUCCAAGAUUUUGAGAACAUGGUGGAAGCAGAAGAGCUUUCAGUUAGUUUCAUGAUAUUAUUAUUACCUAAUUCCAGGCUAGUACAAGAAUAAGCGUACUAGGCUCGACUUUGUAUAGAAUCCCUACCUCGUUUUAGUAUUGAACGAUAUUUUUGUUGUUAUUUGAAGUCAAUUCAUUUGAAUUUUUC